rnacentral:lncRNA from 1 species
CUCUCUCUCUCUCUCUCUCUCUCUCUCUCUCUCUCUCUCUCUCUCUCUCUCUCUCUCUUCCAUCCGGAGUUGAGCAAAAUCCAUCCGGGACCGAGCUCGAAGAGGAGGAGGAGGAGGAGAAAAAUCUUACCGGCGACCGUGAGUCGGAUACCGGAGCCGUGGAGGUUGCCGUCCGGUGGAGAAGGACGCGAAGAGCCGCCGGUCGGUCGUUGAAGAGGCGACGGCACCGAGAGGAGGCGGCGGCUACAGGGAAACCGGCGGAAACUCGGAAAUGAGAGCGGCUAUCAGGCUCUCAGCGAGGGAAGUUAGG